ensembl:lncRNA
CAUCGCCUCCGGCUAGUGACCGUCCACAUGUUUACCAGAUCUCCUCAGGCAUGGGCUGCCUGGAACAGUUCUUAACGGCUCUCCUGUCAGCUGCCGCAUAUCAACGGUUUCCCAGUCCCUUAGAAGAUCACCGCAGUCACACACUAGGUUAGCAGACCAACCCCCUCCCUGACCCAGAAGAUAGUCCCUCAUCGAAGGCUGGGACGCAGACACACAGGUCCGUUCAGAGUCUGUGAACACAUGUAUCUGAUCCAGUCUCUGCGCUCUCCAUGCAGUACAGAGCGGCUGCUGUUGAAUGCUGCCUCUCGCCCUGCUGGGAUUAGUCGCGCUCGUGCUCUUGUUCCUACGCUGGCGGUCGCACCCCGAGGCCACGGCAGGGAUGCCUGGAGGAGGACAAGCCUCCGCUGCGGUGCCCGAGGAGCUGCCCGCUGACGCACACGCCCCCCUGGCCCGGAGGAACAGCCCCAGCAGCCCGCCGCCCCACGCAGCACCGCU